rfam:Aspergillus aculeatus ATCC 16872 unplaced genomic scaffold ASPACscaffold_2, whole genome shotgun sequence.
GUCUUCAUGGUGUAGUGGUUAUCACGUGGGUCUCAUAUCAACUCGAAUAUGACUUGGAAGCCGUCAACUUCCAGGAUAUCCCAAGGCCGGGAGUUCGAUCCUCCCUGAGGACA